rnacentral:rRNA from 1 species
UACGUAGGACCCGAGCGUUGUCCGGAUUCACUGGGUAUAAAGGGUGCGUAGGCGGCCUUGUGCGUCAGAGGUGAAAUAUCCAGGCUUAACCUGGAGGGUGCCUUUGAUACGGCAGGGCUUGAGUGCGGAAGAGGAUGAUGGAAUUCCUGGUGUAGCGGUGAAAUGCGUAGAUAUCAGGAGGAACACCGGUGGCGAAGGCGGUCAUCUGGUCCGCGACUGACGCUGAGGCACGAAAGCGCGGGGAUCAAACAGG